rnacentral:rRNA from 1 species
UUGGAGGGCAAGUCUGGUGCCAGCAACCGCGGUAAUUCCAGCUCCAAUAGCGUAUAUUAAAGUUGUUGCAGUUAAAAAGCUCGUAGCUGAAUUUCGGGAUCAGAUUGUCGGUCGUGCCUCGGUACGCACCGGUAUUAUUGGUUCCUACCUUCUGAAGAACCGCGAUGUCAUUAAUUUGGUGUCGUGGGGAAUCAGGACUGUUACUUUGAAAAAAUUAGAGUGUUUAAAGCAGGCUUACGCUUGAAUACAUUAGCAUGGAAUAAUGAAAUAGGACGUUUGAUUCUAUUUUGUUGGUUUCUAGGAUUGACGUAAUGAUUAAUAGGGAUAGUUGGGGGCAUUAGUAUUCAAUUGUCAGAGGUGAAAUUCUUGGAUUUAUUGAAGACUAACUACUGCGAAAGCAUUUGCCAAGGAAGUUUUCAUUAAUCAAGAACGAAAGUUAGGGGAUCGAAGACGAUCAGAUACCGUCGUAGUCUUAACCAUAAACUAUGCCGACUAGGGAUCGGAUGAUGUUAAUUUUUUAAUGACUCAUUCGGCGCCUUACGGGAAACCAAAGUGUUUGGGUUC